rnacentral:rRNA from 1 species
GCAAGUCGAACGGUGAACCCGCUUCGGUGGGGGAUCAGUGGCGAACGGGUGAGUAACACGUGGGCAACCUGCCCUCAGCUCUGGGAUAACUCCAAGAAAUUGGGGCUAAUACUGGAUAUGACCGCUGACCGCAUGGUCUGGUGGUGGAAAGAUUUAUCGGCUGGGGAUGGGCCCGCGGCCUAUCAGCUUGUUGGUGGGGUAGUGGCCUACCAAGGCGACGACGGGUAGCCGGCCUGAGAGGGUGACC